UGCAAGUCGACGGCAGCACGGAGCUUGCUCUGGUGGCGAGUGGCGAACGGGUGAGUAAUAUAUCGGAACGUACCCUAGAGUGGGGGAUAACGUAGCGAAAGUUACGCUAAUACCGCAUACGAUCUAAGGAUGAAAGUGGGGGAUCGCAAGACCUCAUGCUCGUGGAGCGGCCGAUAUCUGAUUAGCUAGUUGGUAGGGUAAAAGCCUACCAAGGCAUCGAUCAGUAGCUGGUCUGAGAGGACGACCAGCCACACUGGAACUGAGACACGGUCCAGACUCCUACGGGAGGCAGCAGUGGGGAAUUUUGGACAAUGGGCGAAAGCCUGAUCCAGCAAUGCCGCGUGAGUGAAGAAGGCCUUCGGGUUGUAAAGCUCUUUUGUCAGGGAAGAAACGGUGAGAGCUAAUAUCUCUUGCUAAUGACGGUACCUGAAGAAUAAGCACCGGCUAACUACGUGCCAGCAGCCGCGGUAAUACGUAGGGUGCAAGCGUUAAUCGGAAUUACUGGGCGUAAAGCGUGCGCAGGCGGUUUUGUAAGUCUGAUGUGAAAUCCCCGGGCUCAACCUGGGAAUUGCAUUGGAGACUGCAAGGCUAGAAUCUGGCAGAGGGGGGUAGAAUUCCACGUGUAGCAGUGAAAUGCGUAGAUAUGUGGAGGAACACCGAUGGCGAAGGCAGCCCCCUGGGUCAAGAUUGACGCUCAUGCACGAAAGCGUGGGGAGCAAACAGGAUUAGAUACCCUGGUAGUCCACGCCCUAAACGAUGUCUACUAGUUGUCGGGUCUUAAUUGACUUGGUAACGCAGCUAACGCGUGAAGUAGACCGCCUGGGGAGUACGGUCGCAAGAUUAAAACUCAAAGGAAUUGACGGGGACCCGCACAAGCGGUGGAUGAUGUGGAUUAAUUCGAUGCAACGCGAAAAACCCUUACCUACCCUUGACAUGGCUGGAAUCCUCGAGAGAUUGGGGAG
rnacentral:rRNA from 1 species